CAAUAGCGUAUAUUAAAGUUGUUGCGGUUAAAAAGCUCGUAGUUGGAUUUCUGCUGAGAACGACCGGUCCGCCCUCUGGGUGUGUAUCUGGCUCUUUCUUGGCAUCUUCUUGGUGAACGUUGCUGCACUUGACUGUGUGGAGCGCUACCCAGGACUUUUACUUUGAGGAAAUUAGAGUGUUUCAAGCAGGCAUACGCCUUGAAUACAUUAGCAUGGAAUAAUAAGAUAGGACCUCGGUUCUAUUUUGUUGGUUUCUAGAGCUGAGGUAAUGAUUAAUAGGGAUAGUUGGGGGCAUUCGUAUUUAACUGUCAGUGGUGAAAUUCUUGGAUUUGUUAAAGACGGACUACUGCGAAAGCAUUUGCCAAGGAUGUUUUCAUUG
rnacentral:rRNA from 1 species